GCUAAAGGAGAGACCUCCACACUGAACAUGAGCCCCCCCCAUUGAUUCCUCCAAUCUCCAUCCCUCUACUCCUCCUCUGGUGAUAAACUGUGGGCUGGUGUUAUGAAACCACUUGUUCUCCUUCACAACAUGCACCCAUGUGAGAGCUGAACCUCACAUGAAGCCCGUGACCAUGAGAUGACCUCCAGGCCUCCACCCGCUCUCCACGCCGCUAGUAACCACAUCCAAACAUUCCAGUUUAUUAUUCCGUUGCGGACGAGGAGGAUUCGGGUUCAUGUGUGCGUGCAGAAGGAAAAAGUAAUAAAAGGUCACGUUUGGCAGCUAGAAGAGAAGAAUUAAUCAGCGUGGUGAUUAAAAACCUGGCUGUGUGCAGCGGUGCUGACUGGGCUUUCUGUGUCUCUCUUUUCACUGCCGACCCCCCCACAUCCAAAAACAGCAUCAAAGCAAUCAAAAUGGUAAUGUUCGGCAUGAAUGGGGCCCAUCCCCCCUCCUCCUCCUCCUGCACAAAACUCUGCAGACUUUUCCCCUCUCUGGUGUGAGGGGGGGGGGGGGAUACACCCCCUUUUCUCUCUCAAAAUGGAAGCUUCCACUACCAAACAGAAGGAGAAGUCACAGCACACACACGCUUCAGAGGGAGCAGCAGAAGCUGGGUGAACUGGGCGGUGCUGGAGUCCCACUAUGUGCCAAGUUUAACGGCGAUCGGGACUAAUUAAAGCCGCUGGAUGAGGCGGUUAGGUGCCCUUUAAUUUAAAAAAAAACAUAGCCCACUUUAGUUUGCUUAACUUAGUCCACACAGGUGAGAUAACCGCCGAAGUGAAGCGCGUUUCUCGUGGAGUCACACAAAGACACGCGCUGUGAUUCCCGUCACGGCUCAGACCUAAACGGUCACAUUUAGCGAUGUGUUAACGGGGUCUGGGAAGCCGCAGUGCCGCCGCUCACGGAACUCCAACUCCAGAGUGCGUGUUUUGGGAGCAGCGGGGCUUCGGAGCGGCGGGCUUUCAUUCUAACGACGACGGACCGUUUUAAUAAGAGUACGCAGACAUUUUACGAACUAUCGGCGUUGCUGUUUUAACGGGCCUGCGGACCCAGCCGGCAGUCCCCCGCUCUCAAGGCUGGGACCGACCGGCGGGGCGGUGCGAGGCAGCAGCAGCAGCGAGCCACCGGGAGAGGGGGGGGAGCUGUCCGCGGUGCUGAACUCCGCUACCCGGCUUCUCCAUCAGCACCUGCCGCCGUGUGGCACCGCCACCGCGGCAUCAAAAGUUAAGCCCAGUUUAAAGCUAUUAAAAAGACAGCAACGGGAAGAAAAGUGAAAGCAGGCGAAUCGAGUGCACCAUCUGCGGUCACGUGACCCCCCCACCGCCCCCCCCUGCGCGAGGAGAAAAAACACCACCGGACUAAAAGUAUAAAGUAACAAAUAAUCCGCCAUUUAACAGGCCCUAAAAGCACCUCCGGCCCGGUGGAGACGGUCUUAACGUCUUAAACUUCCGCCGUAGCGGCUCCCCGCCACAAGUCCGAGCCGGAGAGUUAAAGGCUAAAGCUAGCUCCUUUAUUAGCUCCUUUUUACUCUCCAGAAACAUGAACUCAAAAUGGACGCGAACAGUUUUUUUAACAUAACUUUGAGAUGCCGAGAGACAGGAAGUCCAAACACACACACACAGACGGACUCACACAGACACACACACACACACACAGCGGGCGUGAACGGCGUUCACUUUCCCAUCUUUUCUCUUUUUGAGUCCCCAUCCACCAUGUUUGUUAUGAGGCCAGAAGACUUACUUGCUUGUCGCUCAGGGCUGAUAUCCGCCGGUCGUGUAGCUGUCUCUUAAGCUCUCCAUCCUGCGGGAAAACACAAGGGGACAAUCACCACCUGCCACACGGACAUCCACCUAAACACACGGCAUCCACAUGCACGCUAAGCCGCCACGGAGCAGCAUUAGGCCGAUAAAGUUUCCCUCGCACAGCCGCCUCGGCGUUAGCUUGAGGAGCUAGCCGUGUAAUACAUGUACUUUAAAUACCUGUGGGUCCUGCUUCAUCUGGGCAACUAGUUCAGUAACUGCGGCCUUAUUACGCUAAAACAAAAGUCCCCUCAAGUUUUGUUAGUGUGAGGAAGGGAGGAACAAAGCGGAGGAGGUGGAGGAGGAGGAGGAGGUGGAGGCGACUCUUUGGCUCCUCAUAAAUAUUCAGGUCGCGUCCGGAUCGCCGCCACACCACCGCAUUAUUAGCCCGAGAAGAAAAGAGGGCUUCUUGUUGCACCGCGAACAACAACAACAAACAAACAAACAAACAAAGCCGUAGAGAUUCAGAGCACAAGUGGCGCGUGCUCGACGUUAUUAAGCGACAUCUUGUUUCUGCGGCUGCUUCUUUACGACCACCGGAGAACAACGACGGCUGGUUACCUGGUGACAUUGGAUCUCUACUUUCAGCGCCUCUUGCAGGCCUCGUACUUCCAUGUUUCCGGCCCGGCCACACAAAAAAAACUCACUUUUCUGACACUUUUUUCCGACGCCACCGACGCGAAGUUUUUUUUCCUUUUUUAAUCAGAAUAUAUAUUUUUUCUUAUUUCCAAAGCGACGAUAACAAUUGGAAGAACGAACUACUCGAGCUGACGGCAAAAAAAGCAAGUUCUCGCUUUUUUUUUUCGCAGGCUCGGGACUCAUCACCCCCACUUUCCGCCCGUCUGCGAAAAGUGCUCCAAACCCGGCGGAAAGAGCUCAGGCCCCGGCGGCUCUUCUCCAGAUUCGCGGCCAAACGUCGAGUGGUCCGACGGGGGAGCGGGGCUGCUUUCCCGUCGGUUAUUUUAAGUUGAAACACGGGGACUAUAUUCUGUCCGAGUCCGCGGCUUGAUUUCACUUUGCCUGGGGAAAAGUUGCGCUUCGGCUGUCAAUGGUAAUUCUGAGAGUUCCCGGAUGGAGCAGCGAGGGCAUGCGCAGUAGGGAGAAGCUACAACUACUUCAAGGAGCAUUUUAUAAAUGCGUGCCGCUAUUGGUCCCAGCCGAGCCAAUCAAGAGCUGCGAUGAUUGAGGGGCAGCGCGGGGAACCAACGGGAGCCCGGCGUCGGGAGGAGGGGGAGGAGGAUGUGAUCGGAAAGUUGAUGAGCGAGCAGAGAUGGCAGCUGGUGAUUGAAUGUGUCGUCAACUCGAACAACUUCUCCUCACUUUUACCGCACAAAUUACUACAACGUGAACAAAAUGGCGGCAAUGU
ensembl:lncRNA